AAAACAAAGAAGAAAGAAAACU
rnacentral:sRNA from 1 species